GGUUAACAAGGUAAAGUUCGAGGGGUUGGGUAUAUCAUCAAAGCAUCUGUGUACUGGAAUCCACUUGGAUUAGACAUUCCGGAAGCACAAAAGAGCCCGCCUGCACCGAGUAUAUGUCCGAUGCGGCGCCUCCAACCAAAUUGCGCGCGGGUGCAUCUCCUUGUUUUGACCGGGAUAGAGUGCGAGCAUUGAUGUAGAUUCCGUAGCACUAAUCUAAAUCUAAAUUAGUUUUUUUUUUCCUUUGGUGAGAGGUGAGGAGGAUCGUGUCUUAAUCGGUGACUAUGAAAGACUGGAAGUAGCUACAGAAGGGAUAGAUCUGGUUACCAGGUUCCUAGUUAAUUUAUCAAGCAAUAUUCUCUCCCACUUCAGAGGACAACGUAAUCCAUGGAGUCCGCGGUUUCGUAUUAGGUCAUCCUUAAUGACAUCUAAAAAACCUGAUAAAAACCAGCGGAAAAUACACGUGGAUUUUUCUCACAAGAUUCGUUCAAUUGAGUCAUUCCUUGUUGGACACGGUCGUUGUGGUACAUGUGAUGUAUGGUGUGUGUAUACAUGUAUGUUUUUCCUUUUUUAUUUGGCGAUGGAAGCCUUACAGAAACAAAAGAAGAAGAAUAAAAAUUUCGCAAGUAUACUACAAUGACAACUACAAUGCAAUGAUCAGACCUGAUAAGUAAAUGCAAUUUUAUCACCCCUUCUCUUCAUGUUCUACCUCUUUGAUCCUUAUUCGGCCGUUUUAUUUUCAUAUCCUCCCUUUCUUAAUUUAUCCACCACCGCACUUGCUCGCUCUUGCCUCUUUUUGCUCCACCGACCGUUGACACGCUCACUAGAAUCACCACACAGCCACAUCUUGCCAAAUACCCGUAUCUCAUAACC
rnacentral:lncRNA from 1 species